rnacentral:rRNA from 1 species
AUACGGAGGAUCCGAGCGUUAUCCGGAUUUAUUGGGUUUAAAGGGUGCGCAGGCGGCCAUUUAAGUCAGCGGUUAAAUCGUGGGGCUCAACCCCAUUCUGCCGUUGAUACUGGGUGGCUUGAUUGCGGUCGAGGUUGGCGGAAUUCGUUGUGUAGCGGUGAAAUGCAUAGAUAUGACGAAGAACACCGAUUGCGUAGGCAGCUGACCAGACCGCAAAUGACGCUCAUGCACGAAAGUGCGGGGAUCGAACAGGAUUAGAUACCCUGGUAGUCCGCACAGUAAACGAUGAAUACUUGUUUUCGGCGAUAUAAUGUCGGAGGCAAAGCGAAGGCGAUAAGUAUUCCACCUGGGGAGUACGCCGGCAACGGUGAAACUUAAAGGAAUUGACGGGG